rnacentral:rRNA from 1 species
CCUACGGGAGGCAGCAGUGAGGAAUAUUGGUCAAUGGACGAGAGUCUGAACCAGCCAAGUAGCGUGAAGGAUGAAGGCCCUAUGGGUUGUAAACUUCUUUUAUAUGGGAAUAAAAUGUGCCACGUGGGGGAUUUUGUAUGUACCAUAUGAAUAAGGAUGGGCUAACUCCGUGCCAGCAGCCGCGGUUAUACGGAGGAUCCGAGCGUUAUCCGGAUUUAUUGGGUUUAACGGGAGCGUAGGGGGAUUGUUAAGUCAGUGGGGAAAGUUUGCGGCUCACCCGUAAAAUUGCCGUUGAACCUGGCAGUCUUGAGUACACUCGAGGUAGGCGGAAUUCGUGGUGUAGCGGU